rnacentral:rRNA from 1 species
UACGUAGGGCGCAAGCGUUGUCCGGAAUUAUUGGGCGUAAAGAGCUCGUAGGCGGUUUGUCGCGUCUGCUGUGAAAUCCCGAGGCUCAACCUCGGGCUUGCAGUGGGUACGGGCAGACUAGAGUGCGGUAGGGGAGACUGGAAUUCCUGGUGUAGCGGUGGAAUGCGCAGAUAUCAGGAGGAACACCGAUGGCGAAGGCAGGUCUCUGGGCCGCAACUGACGCUGGAGGAGCGGAAAAGCAUGGGGGAGCGAACAGG